GAUGAACGCUAGCGGCAGGCCUAAUACAUGCAAGUCGAACGGGAUUAAGGAGCUUGCUUCUUAUGAGAGUGGCGCACGGGUGCGUAACACGUAUGCAACCUACCUUUAACUGGGGGAUAGCCUUCCGAAAGGAAGAUUAAUACCGCAUAACAUAAUGGAGUGGCAUCACUUUAUUAUCAAACUAUUUGGGUUAAAGAUGGGCAUGCGUCCGAUUAGCUAGUUGGUACGGUAACGGCGUACCAAGGCGACGAUCGGUAGGGGAUCUGAGAGGAUGGCCCCCCACACUGGUACUGAGACACGGACCAGACUCCUACGGGAGGCAGCAGUAAGGAAUAUUGGUCAAUGGACGGAAGUUUGAACCAGCCAUGCCGCGUGCAGGAAGACGGUCCUCUGGAUUGUAAACUGCUUUUGUUAGGGAAGAAACUUCCGUACGUGUACGGGACUGACGGUACCUAAAGAAUAAGCACCGGCUAACUUCGUGCCAGCAGCCGCGGUAACAC
rnacentral:rRNA from 1 species